AAGCAUUACUUAUAUAUACACUAAUAGAGAACUCCAAACAGUAGUACAGUUUAUGCUCUUUAAAACACUUGGAAAAUGUAGGGAAAUAAUGGAUUGUGGUACUUAAUAUUCUCAACAACGCUAGUCUUUAAUGUGUAUAAAUACCCAUCAAUACUGUGACAACAUUUUUGAUGAGUUUUAAAUGAGUGAACACUGUCAAUCAAUUCAAAUUAACUGUACCUUAUCCA
rnacentral:lncRNA from 1 species